rnacentral:lncRNA from 10 species
UGAGGAAGAAAGAUAAGGAAAAGAAGAACUGGGCAGAAAAAGAAGUCCAUCUGUGAGGAAACCUUGGCAAGACCUUGGCUAACCCUCUGUGGCGCUCCAGAGCACAUAUGGCCUACCAGAGCAAUCCCAGGCCAGCUGAAGCUUGGGUUAGGACCAGUCCAGAUGGAAUUUCCUUGGGAAAGGGAAGUGUUGGAAGAGAAGAGAAAAGUGGAAUGGAUACUGGGAAGGAAGUACCUGGAAAAGCACAUUAAGGAGAAGAACACAAUUACCACCUCACUUCUAUUUUAUGCCACUGUCAAUGCCAGUAUUUGGAGGAAGUUCAAGCUAAAUUACUGAAAUGAUUUUGAUUGUUCCGGCAUUAUGUUCUCAACACCUAAAUGGCCAAUCAGAUAACUGUAUUCAUCUGUAAGUUGGAUUAGAUAUUAACUUAAAAUAAUUCUAGCCAUAAUCUUUUAUUAUAGUGAUUCUUAAACUUUAUGGAUUACAAACCGCUUUGAGAAUCUCCACAAGCAUUAUGAACUCUCUCUCCACAAAAAUGUAUAUAUACGCUUAUUGAUUCAGAGAAAACAUCAUUUUAGCAGCCGUGAGCACUCCUCUUAAGGAGAGAUUCAUCUUUGUUGCAAAGGAUGUGAAAAGUGAAGCUUUAACCAAAACCACCAAAACUGAUAGACAUAUAAUUCCAAAGUCAGAUCACUAUUUGCAGACUUUCUGAAGGAUGUGGUUGGAAACUGGUUCCACCAAUGCUCAUUUCCUUCACUCACUUGGAGACAAUAAAAGGAUAAGAUUUGGGUUCAGGAGAGAUUCCUUUGGAGAGAGUUGUUACCUCGCUGUGAGCUGAAACCUGUGUCCAUGCCCAGGGGUCUGGAAUUACUGUGUCCUCACCCUUCAUCAGGGAGGGGCUUCCACAUGAUGAGGAAAUGUAUUCUAUGAGGUUGAGAAAAACAAAAGCCAAAAAGGCUGAAGAGCCUGGGGGCAGCAGGACAGAGGAGCCAUUUGGGAUCACAGCCAGGUGUGGAGGGUGAGCUGCGCACAACCAGACACAGGCUGCAGCAGACAGAGAGUUACUGGAGAUAUUUCAAGUCCUACUCAAGAGGACCCCAGAAGAGAAAUAGGCAUGUAUGGAGUGGAUGCCCAUGCCCCAGGGCUGAGGGCUGAGGCCACUGUGGGGCCCGGAAGAUUUCACAGGAUGACAGAAUGGCAGGGAGAGUGUCCGGUAAUGGUCGGCAGUGCCAUCCCCUCAUUCCUGAGAGUGAGUCCAUCCAGGUGA